GAAAGGUCAAGAAUCCAGUAGUUGUUUAGUCUACAGGAAUGGGUGUCUCAAAAGUCUCAAUCUGGUACCAGAGUCCCAGCUGAGUUCUGAAGAGCUGCUUGUCUUCAGUGUAUCUGGAAAUCCUGAAGAGGAAGGUUCUAACUCUAAUGAAAGAUUGCCUCAGCAACAGGAUAGAUGAACCUGCCAGUGAGAGUGUGAUCAAGCAGGCAAAAAGCAAAAAUUUCCUUCUUCCACUUGGGCUACAACCAGGAAGCAUAGCCCAUGUUUAGAAUGCGUCCUCCCUCUUCAUAAGAUCAAGACUUAAGGACUUGCGUUUGCUAAAGGAAAAACUGUGAGCAACCAAACCUGUGCUUCUGUGAUAAGAGAAAUAGCGAAAGAAUCUGG
rnacentral:lncRNA from 1 species